rnacentral:rRNA from 1 species
UACAGAGGGCGCGAGCGUUAAUCGGAAUUACUGGGCGUAAAGCGCACGUAGUCGGCUUUGCAAGUCGGGUGUGAAAUCCCCGGGCUCAACCUGGGAACUGCAUCCGAGACUGCAUUGCUAGAGUAUGGGAGAGGGAAGCGGAAUUUCUGGUGUAGCAGUGAAAUGCGUAGAUAUCAGAAGGAACAUCAGUGGCGAAGGCGGCUUCCUGGACCAAUACUGACGAUCAGGUGCGAAAGCGUGGGGAGCAAACAGG